rnacentral:rRNA from 1 species
GAUGAACGCUGGCGGCGUGCUUAACACAUGCAAGUCGAACGGAAAGGCCCAAGCUUGCUUGGGUACUCGAGUGGCGAACGGGUGAGUAACACGUGGGUGAUCUGCCCUGCACUUCGGGAUAAGCCUGGGAAACUGGGUCUAAUACCGGAUAGGACCACAUUUUGGAUGGUGUGGUGGAAAGUUUUUCGGUGUGGGAUGAGCUCGCGGCCUAUCAGCUUGUUGGUGGGGUAAUGGCCUACCAAGGCGUCGACGGGUAGCCCGCCUGGGAGGGUGUACGGCCCCCAUUGGACUUGGGAACGCACCAGGAGCCAUUCGGCGGCAAGGGGCGGGAAACUUACGCAAAAGGGCCGAGGCUGUGAGGAAGGGCGCCGGAUGGGGAAAGACGGCUUUCGGGUAGUAACCACUUUUCACUGGGGAAGAAGCGUAAUGACGGUACCUAAGAAAAAAGGCACGGCUAAAUUCGGG